rnacentral:lncRNA from 12 species
CAAUCCUGGAAGUGAUUGGGUGGCUGCUCAGCCCUCUGUGAGACUCUGCCUUAUUUCUAGACCUGUGCAUCAGCACAACCUGGUAUCCCAUUCUUAGCAAGACUUAGAGAUCAAUCACCUUCAAUUCCUGCUGACUGCUGUGGGAGGAAUGGGAUUUGAACAUCUCUCUGGCCAGAUGCAGCAGCAAGGAUUUGGAGGGAGCGGUGGUGCUGGAAGUGGAUGCUGGUGAAGUCACUGGAGAGCUGUGCUCCCCACAGAAGCAGCACAGCAGGAAAAGCAACUGGCAGCAGUUCAUUCAGCUGAAAAUAGUGUUGUGGAACAAAUACCUGGGAUGUUACAAAGAGAAUCCAUCAGUUUUUCAGAUGCUAUGUCAGGUUCUCAGAGUGACUGCUUUGACACUGGACAAAUGGAAUGUGUACAUCCAGGAGUCAAAACAAAUACUGCACAGCUCUU